UACUGACCUGGGCGUGUACUCCAGGUGAGAGUGGAUCUGGACCUAUAUGAACCUUGUUCUGGUCCGGUACUGACCUGGGCGUAUACUCCAGGUGAGAGUGGAUCUGAACCUAUCUGAACCUGAUUCUGGUCCUGUACUGACCUGGGCGUGUACUCCAGGUGAGAGUGGAUCUGGACCUGGUUCUUGUUCUGUACUGACCUGGGUGUGUACUCCAGGUUUGAGUGGACCUGGUUCUGGUUCUGUACUGACCUGGGUGUGUACUCUAGGUGAGAGUGGAUCUGGACCUAUCUGAACCUGGUUCUGGUCCUGUACUGACCUGGGUGUGUACUCUAGGUGAGAGUGGACCUGGACCUGGUUCUGGUCCUGUACUGACCUGGGUGUGUACUCCAGGUUUGAGUGGACCUGGUUCUGGUUCUGGUUCUGUACUGACCUGGGCGUGUACUCCAGGUGAGAGUGGAUCUGGACCUAUAUAAACCUGGUUCUGGUUCUGUACUGACCUGGGCGUGUACUCCAGUUGAGAGUGGACCUGUACCUGGUUCUGGUUCUGUACUGACCUGGGCGUGUACUCCAGGUGAGAGUGGAUCUGGACCUAUCUGAACCUGGUUCUGAACCUGGUUCUGAACCUGGUUCUGAACCUGGUUCUGGUUCUGUACUGACCUGGGUGUGUACUCCAGGUUUGAGUGGAUCUGGACCUGGUUCUGGUUCUGUAUUGACCUGGGUGUGUACUCCAGGUGAGAGUGGAUCUGGACCUAUCUGAACCUGGUUCUGUACUGACCUGGCGUGUACUCCAGGUUUGAGUGGACCUGGACCUAACUGGACCUGGUUCUGGUUCUGUACUGACCUGGGCGUGUACUCCAGGUGAGAGUGGAUCUGGUUCUGGUUCUGUA